AUCUACGGCCAUACCACCCUGAACACGCCCGAUCUCGUCUGAUCUCGGAUGCUAAGCAGGGUCAGGCCUGGCUAGUACCUGGAUGGGAGAAA
rnacentral:rRNA from 1 species